CAUGUAGGCGGAUUGAUAAGUUUGAAGUGAAAUCCUAUGGCUUAACUAUAGAACUGCUUUGAAAACUGUUAAUCUAGAAUGUGGGAGAGGUAGAUGGAAUUUCUGGUGUAGGGUAAAAUCCGUAGAGAUCAGAAGGAAUACCGAUUGCGAAGGCGAUCUACUGGAACAUUAUUGACGCUGAGAUGCGAAAGCGUGGGGAGCAAACA
rnacentral:rRNA from 1 species